rnacentral:rRNA from 1 species
CAGACAUGCAAGUCGAACGAUUAAACUUUCCUUCGGGAAAGAUAUAAAGUGGCGCACGGGUGAGUAACACGUAAGUAAUCUACCUUCGAGUGGGGAAUAACAUCGGGAAACCGAUGCUAAUACCGCAUAAUGCAGCGGCAUCGAAAGAUGACAGUUGUUAAAGGAGCAAUUCGCUUGAAGAGGAGCUUGCGGCAGGUUAGCUAGUUGGUAAGGUAAUGGCUUACCAAGGCUUCGAUCUGUAUCCGGUCUAAGAGGACGGUCGGACACACUGACACUGAAUAACGGGUCAGACUCCUACGGGAGGCAGCAGUCGGGAAUUUUGGGCAAUGGGCGAAAGCCUGACCCAGCAACGCCGCGUGAAGGAUGAAGUAUUUCGGUAUGUAAACUUCGAAAGAAUGGGAAGAAAUCAAUGACGGUACCAUUUAUAAGCUCCGGCUAACUACGUGCCAGCAGCCGCGGUAAUACGUAGGGAGCAAGCGUUGUUCGGAUUUACUGGGCGUAAAGGGCGCGUAGGCGGCAAAUUAAGUCAGCUGUGAAAUCUCCGAGCUUAACUCGGAACGGUCAGCUGAUACUGAUCUGCUAGAGUGCGGAAGGGGCAAUCGGAAUUCUUGGUGUAGCGGUGAAAUGCGUAGAUAUCAAGAGGAACACCUGAGGUGAAGACGGGUUGCUGGGCCGACACUGACGCUGAGUGCGCGAAGGCCAGGGGAGCAAACGGGAUUAGAUACCCCGGUAGUCCUGGCCUUAAACGAUGAAUACUUGGUGUCUGGAGUCUCUAUAGCUCCGGGUGCCGUCGCUAACGUUUUUAGUAUUCCGCCUGGGGAGUACGCACGCAAGUGUGAAACUCAAAGGAAUUGACGGGGACCCGCACAAGCGGUGGAGCAUGUGGUUUAAUUCGACGCAACGCGAAGAACCUUACCUAGGCUAGAAUGUGAG